rnacentral:lncRNA from 1 species
GGGGCAGGGAAUGUAAAAAAAAAAAAAAAAAGCACAGGAACUGUGUGAAGCUCUCCUUGGACCCUCCUGGAAGAAAGGGUCACAUUCCAUUCCUGGGCCUUCAGGAAGCGAUCUUUACCCGCUUUCUUUCCUUGAGAGUAGGCCUGUGGUGGGGCCUAGUGCUGGGUGCAUGAAGGUAACAACUACCGUUUGUGCUUACUCAUGGUCCCGCCCUGGCAAAGCUGGAGUCUCCUAGGGGUGGGGAAUGAGGUCUGGCCAGGGAGAAUGCCUCUAGCUCAGCAGCAGGCAGCCCCAGGCAUCCAGCAGGAAGAGGCAGGCUCCAAGAAGCAGAGGGCUGGGUGGAGGAGGUCAGAUCUGGAUUCCUGCUUUCUGUCAUAUGUGAAUUCAGCCUCAGCCUCCAGAAAGCUUCCAACUGGCCCCUCUCCAUGGAACUAGUCUGGUUCACCGUGCUUCAGAUCCUGCCAUCCACGGCGACUCAGCCUUUGGGUGGCUCUGUGCUGCACGUCACUGCUCUAACCCUAGAGUGAGCUGAGAAAUCCCAUUACAGAUGGCUGUGAGCCACCAUGUGGUUGCUGGGAAUUGAACCCAGGACCUCUGGAGGAACAGCCAGUGCUCUCAAGCUCUGAGUCAUUCUCCAGCCUCCUCACUCUUAAGCUGGGAAAGUGUGAGGCCGCAGAGAAGUUCCGCAAGCUCAGGCCGGAGAGAUGCAGGGCAGAGGUGUUGCCCAAGGCCCAGAGUCCUGGUUGCCUCCAAAUCCUGCCACUUUCCAGUCCCUUUCCUUCUCUGUCCUCAAGGAAUGACAGCUGCGCUGAGGCCCUCGGUGCCUCAGGACCCUCUGGUGGAGUUCAGACUCCAGCUGGCUCAAUGCAAGAGGUAGGCGAGGCUCUCUGGGGCGCUUGCGCCUGCUCAGCCAGCGUGAGUGGGAGGCCUGGAGGGCUGCCACCGAGAGCCGGGAAUGAAUGUUGCAGAACUUCCUCUUUCUCAAGCCUCUUAAUCCCGUUUAGCCAAGGCAGUCUGCACCACCCCCUGUGAGGAGUUGGGUCCCAAAAGCCAGGAAAAGAGUCAGAGACAGCCCACACUCCUAUGUUGAGAGUCACACAAGAAGAUGAAACUACACAACUGUCACGUAUAUGCAGAGGGCCUAGGUCAGUCCCAUGCAGGCUCCCUGGCUGUCGGUUCAGUCUCUGUGAGCUCCUGGUUAGUUGAUUCUGUGAGUUUUCUCCUGAUGUCCUUGGCCCCUCUGGCUCCUACCAUCCUUCUGCAGGAUUCUCCAAGCUCUGCCUAAUGUUUGCUGUGCGUCUCUGCACCUGUUUCCAUCAGUUGCUGGAUGAAGCCCCCUGAUGACAGUUAGGCUAGGCACCAACCUGUGAGUAUAGCAGAAUAUUGUUAGAAAUCAUUACAAUGCCUUUUUGCUUUUCCUCCAGUCAUGUUUGGUUCUAUCCUGGGUCUCCAGUCUGUGGGUCCUGGGUCUCCAGGCAGGGGCGGGGGCGGGCUCACUCUCCUGGCACGGGUUUUGAAAUGCUUGGUAGCAAGCUUGACUCUAGCUUUGACCAAUCCCCAGUGCCACGAAAUGCAUGUCAAUGAGUAUUAUUCUUAAGAGCUGACAGUCGACUACAGUUCUCAGGUGCUGGGGUUUCCCUACUCUGUUCUGCUGCCAUCAGGAAGCCCCGCCCCUGGCCUGGCUCAGCUGGCAAUUGCUACUGUGUUCCCGGGGAAUUUUCUCUAACAAUCUUGUGUGUGAUCUGAACUGUAGCCCAGAAAUAAGGUUUUUGUCCCUGUGUUUGCAGCGAGUUAAGUGCCCCAGACAUUGGAUUUGUAGCCGUUGCAGCUCUGCGGGGAUAGAUCCACCAAAUGUGCAAAGCACGGCCGGCCACAGACAGAGGUGGUAGGAUUCUCCAUCUCGUCUCCAGCAGAAAUCCCAGAGAGCCUGUUAUCACAGACGCCGGGACUGACCAGAGCAUCCUCCUAAUUACAAGGUUCUUCUGAAGCAGUAUGUUACCUUAGCGCCAGCAGCUCGCACGUCUCACAUGCGACUCCCACCACGUCACUGGAACUCUUCCAAGAGCCACAUGGAGUGGCUGGCCCAUUGAAUGGACUGUUCUUUUCUGCAACCCCAUUUGGUUUCAUAGCAGUGUUUCUUCUUUCUUUCCCCUUGGAACCUUGGGAAAUCCCCCCAAAGAUGAGAGCCCAUGAGCUCUCAUCUCAUUGGCUGGCACAGACUGGCCAAGAGUGCUCAUCAGUGAAGGUUGAGCAUACAUGUUCAGUCAUCGCGCGUUGAUUGAGUGCUGUAUGUGCAUGGAUGCAAAGGUGAGCCUCUGAAGGACUGCAGAGACCAGUGAAUGAAUAAACAAAUCCGUGACUUCAAGACUCGUCUUCACUCCCGGAUGCCGUGAGGGCCCAGGGACUAUCUCUACCCAUCAGAGACAAAGGGACACCACGUCCAGGCACGGCGCCCUCUUGUCUCUGAAUCUCACUCUCCCCACAUGGAAGAUGGGGCCAGCGAUUACCAACUUCCUGGGCCAUGGGGGGUUCAUCGUGGAGCUGGUGAACCCCCUUCAUGCUCUCAUCUCUCCUAGGGCUGUUCAUGAGGUCAUUUGUAGUUUGCAGACACUACGGAGUCAGGCUGUUUUCUUGUAAAGAACGCUCCUGCGAUGGCUAAUCUUCAUUGUCAACCCCACAGAAUGGAAAAUCACCCGGGUACAUCCAUGUCUGCGCCCAUGAGGCUGUUUCCAGAGAAUUUAACUGAGGAGGGACAACCUGCCCUGAACAUGGGUGACACUGUUAUUCUUUUGUUUAAAAAGAAGAAAAGAGAAAUAUUGAGAUGGACAUAUUGACUAUAAGUUUAUUAUAAGGACCGGCAGAAUGGGGAGACUAAGAGGAGGAACAGGGUAAUGGCUGACCGCCAUGGCCGGUCGCCAUAGAGAGACAGAGCGGGGAAACAGAGAGAGGGGACAGAGAGCAGGAACAGGGAGGAGAGAGAGAGAGAGAGGGCAGGGGCCUAUCUUUUAAAGGGGUCCUCUGCACCUGCGUACAGACUUCUUUCCCAUGGAACCUUGGGCUGACCAGGGUAUUGCCUGAGUGGAUUCCACCAGGUAACAGGGGCAGGCCAGCAUAAUGCCUGAACCUUUCAGACACCAUCUCAGGUCAGGGGUUCCAGACUAAAUUAAAAAACAGACAACAAUCUGAGUGCUCCCUGACCUCUCUUUGUGUCCUGACUACAGAUGUCACCAGCUGCUUCUUGCUCUGGGUGCCCUAACUGGAAGUAGUUCUCUCAGCCAAGCCUCCCACCAUGAUGGACUGUACAUCCUCAGUCUUUGGGCCAAAAUAAACCCUUGCUGCAUUACGUUGCUUUGGUCAGUAUUCUCUCACGGCAACGAGAAAAUUUAGGAGUCCCUAAAUGCUCUAAGUAUCGGACCCCACCAAACCUGAGCUGGCUACUGCACAGAGCCAUGGUUAAUCGUGAGUGACAGGAAAAGGGGCUUCAAGGUGGAGGUAUCAUCCAAACUUGCUGUUUAGGGACACAUGAAGGGCUUUGGGAUCACAGAUGCUCCCUGGAAUUUGCAGGAGUACCACUGUGCCUUCACUAGUGACUUGGGAGGAUAAAAAGGACUACACCUCGUUAGUCUCUUGAGAUGCACAAUUUUAAAG